GGCUCAGUAGUGUGGUGCACGGGCUUAGCUGCUCCGCAGCAUGUGGGAUCUUCCUGGACCAGGGCUCAAACCUGUGUUCCCUGCAUUGGCAAGUGGAUUCUUAACCACUGUUCCACCAGGGAAGUCCAAAAGUCACUUUUCUUAGUAGAACAAAACGAGAACUUCCAAGGUGAAGAGUGGAAAGAGAAUCUCCUUGAUUGAGUCAGAGACUCUGUUCCUGAGAUGCACUUUUGCAUCGAAGUCUCAUUAAUUCCUGCUGCUGCCACUGUGCCCUCCAUAAGAACUGCUCUCCCCAGCUGUGGCCUAAAGUCCCCCUAUCUCUGAGGCACAGCUGACACAAAGCUGAUGGUUCAAAAAGACUUUACCAAAGGUCGAUGGAUUACAAAAGAGAAAUAAAAAGAUAUACCAUAAUUUGAGUACUCCUAAUCAGAGAGAGCUUAUCUCCGGAGGUCAUGGACCCCAUCCUUCCUUACAUGGAAUUCUGCAGAAAUGGAAAGGGCUCUCCUGGGUCCUUUCUACUGAUUUCUAGCCUACCCCCAAUGAGGGCAGAAAUUAGCUUAAUAUACACCAUUUGGGAGUGCCCCAACACCUAACCCAAUGGAGAUCACCUGAGUUCCCCAUCCUGCCACAGAUCUGGAUUCUUAUGUGAUGACAUGCAUUUCCCUUCGGGACUAACUCUGGGGGUGAUCAUGCCAGGGCAGUCCUACCUUAACCUAGUAAUACAGGAGCCGCCAAAUACACAGGACAAAAGGUAAAAGUUCACAGUAACAAGGCGGGGGUCAUUUGCAAAUUGCAGUUAGUCUAGAAACUAAGGAAAGAUACCAGGAGCUUUGGUUUAUAUACAAAAUAAUUCUCAGGACAUAGGUUAAAUAAGAAGAAAUGGCAGUAUUCUGAUUUAAGAAGUAGUCUUCUAAUUUUUACUUGUACAUUCAAUUGAGUUUAAUUAAAUCUUUGUGUUAUUUUUCAUCGGUCUUUCUUGGAUUUCACAUACAGUAACCAACAUCCUGGUUUACCUAGGACUGAGAGGUUCCUAAACUCAGGACUUUCUGUCCUAAAAGCAACAGUGCUGGUCGAACCAGGACAGCUGUCACUCUGAUUACAGCCCCGACUGAGAACCUACUUAAACUAUGAACUCUCUUCCAAGGAAUGGGUGAAAACACUUGAUAUUUUGUGUAAAGUUUCAUGAACUACCUGAAACCCACUACCUGAACCCCCAGAUGUUCAUGGAGCCUGGGUUAAGAAAUCCAGACUUAUAUAAAUACAUUUUGGAUUUUUAUGUAAACUUAUUUAAAUCUUUAUUUCCUGAAGUAAAAUCAUACUUUAUGCAAAGGGUCAAAUCCAAUUACCUUUUUGAGAUUUUAUAUUAUUUUAUUUAUUUAUUUUUGGCCACGUGGCAUGUGGGACCUUAGUUCCCCAGCCAGGGAUUGAACCCACGCCCACUACAGUGGAAGUGCAGAGUCCUAACCACUGGACCACCGGGGCACCCCUAGAUUUUAUAUAAUUUAAAAUCAAGAUUUACUUUGGUGUUUUUCCUUUUCAGUCAUAUCUAGAGACCGUGUUGGAAAAUAUCAAGAAUAGAGGAAGAAUAAGAAGAUUUACUUGAUGCUGAGAAGUGGCUGGAAGGAUUCAGAAACUUGAGAGAAGAAUUUGAAAAAUAUGACCCAGAAAAAAUAGUCUUCCCAACAAUCCGGUAAUGAAGGCACUAUUAUUAAUCCCAUUUUACAGAUGAGGAAACUGAGACACAGAUUUUUUUGUUCAUUAUCAAAGAUUAUGUAACUGGGGCACGGGUUCGAACCCUGGCCCGGGAAGAUGCCACAUGACGCGGAGCAACUAAACCCAUGCGCCACAACUACUGAGCCUGCGUCUAGAGCCCGCGAGCUACAACUUUGAGCUCGUAUGCCACAACUGCUGAAGCCCACACGCCUAGAGCCCGUGCUCCGCAACAAGAGAAGCCACCGCAAUGAGAAGCAUACGCACCACAAGGAAGAGUAGGUCCCGCUCGUCGCAACUAGAGAAAGCCCACGCACAGCAGCGAAGACCCAACACAGCCAAAAAU